UAGGCUAAUUACAUUGUCCAAUAGGCCUGUGAUUGAUUUGUGAACGUGUCAAAAUGUGACGUGAAGACUAGUAACGUAGGCCUACCUGAGCAACCCCAGACAGGAUGGAAAGAGCGGUUGUAGGCAAUAAAGGUCAAAAUGGACCGAAUGAAUGCAUAGACAACAAUGCACAAGCCCUUUCUCGUGGAAAACCAGUCUGGUGAGAGAGAGUGAGAUUUUACAUGCAGUUUUUAUGAGAUCUGCACAAAGAAGACGACAAUAAUAACAACAGAUGCGCGGUAAACAGUUGGCAGUAUCUCUGC